GACGAACGCUGGCGGCGCGCUUAACACAUGCAAGUCGAGCGAUGAAAUUUCGACAGAUCUCUUCGGGGUGAAGACGAAAUGGAUUAGCGGCGGACGGGUGAGUAACACGUGAGUAACCUGCCUUUGACAUUGGGAUAGCCUCGGGAAACUGGGAUUAAUACCAAAUGACACUAACUGAUCACAUGAUCAAUUAGUCAAAGAAAUUCGGUCAAAGAUGGACUCGCGGCUGAUUAGCUAGUUGGUGAGGUAACGGCACACCAAGGCGACGAUCAGUAGCCGGGCGGAGAGGGUGAUCGGCCACAUUGGAACUGAGACACGGUCCAAACUCCUACGGGAGGCAGCAGUGGGGAAUAUUGCACAAUGAGGGAAACCCUGAUGCAGCGACGCCGCGUGAGCGAAGAAGGCGUUCGGAUCGUAAAGCUCUAUUAUGAGAGAAGAUAAUGACGGUACCUGAAGAAGAAGCCCCGGCUAACUACGUG
rnacentral:rRNA from 1 species